AACGAACGCUGGCGGCGUGCCUAACACAUGCAAGUCGAGCGAAUGAAGUUACUUCGGGCCUGGAUUUAGCGGCGGACGGGUGAGUAACACCUGGGCAACUUGCCGCAUAUGGGGGAAUAGCCUCCCGAAAGGGCGCUUAAUACCGCAUAAGCUUGUAGUACCGCAUGAUAGAGCUAUUAAAGGAGCCAUCCGCUAUGAGAUGGGCCCGAGGCGCCUUAGCUUGGUGGUGAGGUCAUGGCGCACCAAGGCGCCGAUGCGUAUCCGACCUGAGAGUCUGAUCGGCGACAUUUGGGCUGAGAAACGGACGAGAAUACUAGGCAAUGGGGGAGUGGCUAAUACAGCACAACGGCGUAAAUCCUGAAGCAGCAAGGCCGCGUAAGCGAUGUCGGUCGGCGGGAUGGAAAGCUCUGUCUUCAGUGACGAUAAUGACGGUACCUGAAGAAGAAGCCACGGCUAACUACGUG
rnacentral:rRNA from 1 species